GCAUGCCUACAACAUAGUGUUAAUGCACCAGACUCCAUUAGAAAUCUAUAGUUAAGCGUGCUCAGGCUAGAGUAGUACUGGGAUGGGUGACCUCCCAGGAAGUCCUAGUGUUUUACAUGCC
rnacentral:rRNA from 1 species